UUGAACGCUGGCGGCAUGCUUUACACAUGCAAGUCGAACGGCAGCGGGGGCUUCGGCCUGCCGGCGAGUGGCGAACGGGUGAGUAAUGCAUCGGAACGUGCCCAGUCAUGGGGGAUAACUACGCGAAAGCGUAGCUAAUACCGCAUACGACCUGAGGGUGAAAGCGGGGGAUCGCAAGACCUCGCGCGACAGGAGCGGCCGAUAUCGGAUUAGCUAGUUGGUGAGGUAAAGGCUCACCAAGGCGACGAUCCGUAGCGGGUCUAAGAGGACGACCCGCCACUCUGGAACUGAGACACGGUCCAGACUCCUACGGGAGGCAGCAGUGGGGAAUUUUGGACAAUGGGGGCAACCCUGAUCCAGCCAUUCCGCGUGAGUGAAGAAGGCCUUCGGGUUGUAAAGCUCUUUCAGCAGGAACGAAACGGUGGCCCCUAAUACGGGCUACUAAUGACGGUACCUGAAGAAGCAGCACCGGCUAACUACGU
rnacentral:rRNA from 1 species